AGAGAACUAAUCGCAACAUCAUGCUACUUAGUGGACUAAUGCUGACUUCGGCUAUGAAAAUUGUUAGUUGCAACAUUGAUUUUGUAUCUAUUCAUGAAUUUAUAUAACUUGCCUUGAUAGAAACAGGUCUAAUGCCUCUUCUUUUGAUUAUAGAGCUCUUUGUGGGGUAGAUAGAAGAUUUGAUUGAGGCUCAAAGUAAACAUUGGAUUGGUAAGUCUUAAAGUGAUUCUUAUCAUUAUUGUUUCCAUGUUCUUAAUAUGCUUUUACUAUUCAAUGAAAUCGCAAUCACAUUGCUCUUUCUAAUAUGCUUUACUAUGUACAACUAUUUUCACUUUACAGUCCCAAAGCAUUAAAUUAA
rnacentral:lncRNA from 1 species